UGUAGUUCAGUCGGUAGAACGGCGGACUGUUAAUCCGUAUGUCACUGGUUCGAGUCCAGUCAAAUAU
rnacentral:tRNA from 1 species